ACGAACUCUUCGGAGUUAGUGGCGGACGGGUGAGUAACACGUGGGAACGUGCCUUUAGGUUCGGAAUAACUCAGGGAAACUUGUGCUAAUACCGAAUGUGCCCUUCGGGGGAAAGAUUUAUCGCCUUUAGAGCGGCCCGCGUCUGAUUAGCUAGUUGGUGAGGUAAAGGCUCACCAAGGCGACGAUCAGUAGCUGGUCUGAGAGGAUGAUCAGCCACAUUGGGACUGAGACACGGCCCAAACUCCUACGGGAGGCAGCAGUGGGGAAUCUUGCGCAAUGGGCGAAAGCCUGACGCAGCCAUGCCGCGUGAAUGAUGAAGGUCUUAGGAUUGUAAAAUUCUUUCACCGGGGACGAUAAUGAC
rnacentral:rRNA from 1 species